GACGAAGGAUGCAAGCGUUAUCCGGAUUCAUUGGGUUUAAAGGGAGCGUAGGCGGCUUUAUAAGUCAGUGGUGAAAUCUCCUCGCUUAACGAGGAAAUUGCCAUUGAUACUGUAGAGCUUGAGUACAGAUGCCGUUGGCGGAAUAUGACAUGUAGUGGUGAAAUACAUAGAGAUGUCAUAGAACACCGAUUGCGAAGGCAGCUGACGAAACUGUAACUGACGCUGAGGCUCGAAAGUGUGGGGAUCAAACAGG
rnacentral:rRNA from 1 species